CCUGGUGGCUCAGACUGUAAAGUGUCUGCCUGCAAUGCAGGGGACCCGGGUUCAAUUCCUGGGUCAGGA
rnacentral:tRNA from 1 species